CAUCCCAGCAAUGGGCAAAGAGACACCUUGUGGGUGUUUGUGUUCUUCUAUCAGUCAGGAGCAGCGGAGAUGGCAGUCCUUUGUUCAUCCUAGCUUGAUGCCUGGCUUGGUGGCCACAUCUGUGUUAUACCUAGUACACAUAA